UACGUAGGGUCCGAGCGUUGUCCGGAAUUAUUGGGCGUAAAGAGCUCGUAGGCGGUCUGUCGCGUCGGCUGUGAAAGCCUGGGGCUCAACUCCAGGCCUGCAGUCGAUACGGGCAGACUAGAGUUCGGUAGGGGAGACUGGAAUUCCUGGUGUAGCGGUGAAAUGCGUAGAUAUCUGGAGGAACACCGGUGGCGAAGGCGGCAUCCUGGACCGGUAUUGACGCUGAGGCGCGAAAGCUAGGGGAGCAAACGGG
rnacentral:rRNA from 1 species